UCCCACAAAAUAAUUAAAU
rnacentral:miRNA from 1 species